rnacentral:lncRNA from 1 species
CAUUCAUGGAUUUUCACAUCAUUGGCGCUGCGAGCAAUUACUACUUGUACAAACAAGUGUUAUAUAGGUGCCUGGCAGUUAGAUAUGGGGUCAUGGUGGUUGACCAGCGGUCAUAGGAUGACCAUUACAUAUCUAGGUGGAACUGGCCAGAGGAUUUCCGAGUAGAUGUCUCGGGGUUGUACAGGUAGUGGACCUGUGAGUUGCUCGGAUGGAUGGUACGCAGCCCGAAAAGGGGGAAG